GACGAACGCUGGCGGCGUGCCUAACACAUGCAAGUCGAACGGAGUUUAAGAAGCUUGCUUUUUAAACUUAGUGGCGGACGGGUGAGCAACGCGUGAGUAACCUACCUUUCAGAGGGGGAUAACGUUCUGAAAAGAACGCUAAUACCGCAUGAGAUUACAGAGCCGCAUGGCUCAGUGAUCAAAGGAGCAAUCCGCUGAAAGAUGGACUCGCGUCCGAUUAGAUAGUUGGCGGGGUAACGGCCCACCAAGUCGACGAUCGGUAGCCGGACUGAGAGGUUGAACGGCCACAUUGGGACUGAGACACGGCCCAGACUCCUACGGGAGGCAGCAGUGAGGGAUAUUGGGCAAUGGGGGCAACCCUGACCCAGCAACGCCGCGUGAGGGAAGAA
rnacentral:rRNA from 1 species